rnacentral:rRNA from 1 species
GGUAGCGCCUCGUGAAUUCAUCUCCGGGGGUAGAGCACUGUUUCGGCUAGGGGGCCAUCCCGGCUUACCAACCCGAUGCAAACUGCGAAUACCGGAGAAUGUUAUCACGGGAGACACACGGCGGGUGCUAACGUCCGUCGUGAAGAGGGAAACAACCCAGACCGCCAGCUAAGGUCCCAAAGUCAUGGUUAAGUGGGAAACGAUGUGGGAAGGCCCAGACAGCCAGGAUGUUGGCUUAGAAGCAGCCAUCAUUUAAAGAAAGCGUAAUAGCUCACUGGUCGAGUCGGCCUGCGC